GGGCCUAUAGCUUAACCCGGAUAAGAGUCUUCGGCUUCGGACCGAAUGAUGCAGGUUCAAAUCCUGCUAGGCCCG
rnacentral:tRNA from 1 species